CCCUCUCAGGACGAACGCUGGCGGCGUGCCUAAUACAUGCAAGUCGAGCGGGUCUCUUCGGAGGCCAGCGGCGGACGGGUGAGGAACACGUGGGUAAUCUGCCUUUCAGGCCGGAAUAACGCCCGGAAACGGGCGCUAAUGCCGGAUACGCCCGCGAGGAGGCAUCUUCUUGCGGGGGAAGGCCCAAUUGGGCCGCUGAGAGAGGAGCCCGCGGCGCAUUAGCUAGUUGGCGGGGUAACGGCCCACCAAGGCGACGAUGCGUAGCCGACCUGAGAGGGUGACCGGCCACACUGGGACUGAGACACGGCCCAGACUCCUACGGGAGGCAGCAGUAGGGAAUCUUCCGCAAUGGGCGCAAGCCUGACGGAGCAACGCCGCGUGAGCGAAGAAGGCCUUCGGGUUGUAAAGCUCUGUUGCUCGGGGAGAGCGGCAUGGGGGAUGGAAAGCCCCAUGCGAGACGGUACCGAGUGAGGAAGCCCCGGCUAACACGA
rnacentral:rRNA from 1 species